rnacentral:rRNA from 1 species
CACAUACGGAGGAAAGAAACCAACAGGGAUUCCCCUAGUAACGGCGAGUGAAGCGGGAACAGCUCAAAUUUGAAAUCUGGCCCUUGGGUCCGAGUUGUAAUUUGCAGAGGAUGCUUUUGGUGCGGUGCCUUCCGAGUUCCCUGGAACGGGACGCCUUAGAGGGUGAGAGCCCCGUACGGUUGGCCACCAAGCCUGUGUAAAGCUCCUUCGACGAGUCGAGUAGUUUGGGAAUGCUGCUCAAAAUGGGAGGUAUAUUUCUUCUAAAGCUAAAUACUGGCCAGAGACCGAUAGCGCACAAGUAGAGUGAUCGAAAGAUGAAAAGCACUUUGAAAAGAGGGUUAAAUAGCACGUGAAAUUGUUGAAAGGGAAGGAUUUAUGACCAGACUUUUUCUAGGGGGAUCAUCCGGUGUUCUCACCGGUGCACUUCCCCUAGUUGAGGCCAGCAUCGGUUUCUGUCGGGGGAUAAAAGCUUCAGGAAUGUGGCUCCCUCCGGGGAGUGUUAUAGCCUGUUGCAUAAUACCCUGACGGGGACCGAGGUUCGCGCAUUGCAAGGAUGCUGGCGUAAUGGUUAUUAAUCACCCGUCUUGAAACACGGACCAAGGAGUCGAACAUUUGUGCGAGUGUUUGGGUGUUAAACCCUCACGCGUAAUGAAAGUGAACGGAGGUGAGAGCCCUUCGGGGUGCAUCAUCGACCGAUCCUGAUGUCUUCGGAUGGAUUUGAGUAAGAGCAUAACUGUUCGGACCCGAAAGAUGGUGAACUAUGCGUGGAUAGGGUGAAGCCAGAGGAAACUCUGGUGGAGGCUCGCAGCGGUUCUGACGUGCAAAUCGAUCGUCAAAUCUGCGCAUGGGGGCGAAAGACUAAUCGAACCAUCUAUAGUGUACG